rnacentral:lncRNA from 13 species
AGGGCAGAGAGGUCAUAAACUACAUGAACUCCUGCUGGAGAGAUCAGCUCCAAGAAAUCUGCCAGGUAUCCCAUUUAAUGACCUAGUUGAUAAAUUUGGGGACAAUUGCCAUAUUGACCAUAUUGAGUGCUACAACCCUUGAAUACAAAAUAUUCCUUCAUUUAUUAUCUUCUAUUGCAAGCCUGAGCAACUGGAGAUCCAAUUUCUCAUUUGGAAAUAAGAUGUUUGAACUAAAUAGCUCUCAAAAGGCCCUUCCAGCUCUGAAGCUAUAAGGUAAGAGAUUGCUGCAAGGUCACCUGGGAUUUUACUCACCACCCUCAGCCUACAAGUGAAGUAUCACUCUCACUCCUUGCCUGACUGAAAUGCGCUGGGACAUGUAGACUUUUCAGAGGCUCCAAAGGAGUGGAGGGUAAGAGUGGAAACUAGGUAAAAAUGAUUCUCA